rnacentral:lncRNA from 1 species
AUCAAGACAAACUGGACUCUGGGUUGACACAUCAAGACAAACUGGACUCUGGGUUGACACAUCAAGACAAACUGGACUCUGGGUUGAGUGCGGUUGUCCGUGACUGACGUUCCAUACACUUUUUUUUACUUCAGGAAAAUAAGCUUCUUGAGCUAUUCGGCCUCCGAAAUAUCACAAUAAUUCAUAAGCAAUCUCUUUUAUGAGUUCUGUUAUUGAAGGCUACGAACGUCACAUGUGAAGGCCACCAUUGUUGCAUCACACCUUCUUUCUGCAAUGGAUUGAUAGGCCUAUUAAAUGAGACUAUAAUUACGUUGAACGUAAUGCUAAUGAGAAUGAGCUGAUUGUUGCAUAUACUGAAGAGGAAAUGUGUUGUUUUGUUUCAGGAUCCCUCGGUUACACAAGUGACCAACUCUGACGUAGACCACAUUGAUCAAUUUAACCCUUUCCCAGACCAUCAGACGGUUAGCCUAUCAGGGCCCACCAUUCCGGCCUCCAGGAUCCCUUCCCAGCCUGCCGUGCUGCAGCCGUCAACAGAGCCCGUGCUUCUACACCUGCAUUGCUUGCUGUUUGGUGUUUUAGGCUGGGUUUCUGUACAGCACUUUGAGAUAUCAGCUGAUGUACGAAGGGCUAUAUAAAUACAUUUGAUUUGAUUUGAGUCCGGCCCACAGGUCACGGAGGCUGCGGGCCAGGCUAGCCUGCUGAGGCAGCAGGAGGAGCUGGAGUGGAAGGCUGCAGACCUGGAGCACAGAGAGAAGGAGUUGCAGAACAGGGGAACCUCAACAGGUCACCCCCUUCUCCCCACACCAUAUACCUCUAUCCUUCCUCUCCUCUCACCAUAUACCUCUAUCCUUCCUCUCCCCACACCAUAUACCUCUAUCCUUCCUCUC